GGAGCAAUCCUGGUGGCGAGUGGCGAACGGGUGAGUAAUGUAUCGGAACGUACCUUUCAGUGGGGGAUAACGUAGCGAAAGUUACGCUAAUACCGCAUAUUCUGUGAGCAGGAAAGCAGGGGAUCGCAAGACCUUGCGCUGAUUGAGCGGCCGAUAUCAGAUUAGCUAGUUGGUGAGGUAAAGGCUCACCAAGGCGACGAUCUGUAGCGGGUCUGAGAGGAUGAUCCGCCACACUGGAACUGAGACACGGUCCAGACUCCUACGGGAGGCAGCAGUGGGGAAUUUUGGACAAUGGGGGCAACCCUGAUCCAGCCAUGCCGCGUGAGUGAAGAAGGCCUUCGGGUUGUAAAGCUCUUUCAGCCGGGAAGAAAUCACAUGGGUUAAUACCCUGUGUGGAUGACGGUACCGGAAUAAGAAGCACCGGCUAACUACGUGCCAGCAGCCGCGGUAAUACGUAGGGUGCGAGCGUUAAUCGGAAUUACUGGGCGUAAAGCGUGCGCAGGCGGUUUGUUAAGAUAGGCGUGAAAUCCCCGGGCUCAACCUGGGAACUGCGUUUAUGACUGGCAGGCUAGAGUAUGGCAGAGGGGGGUGGAAUUCCACGUGUAGCAGUGAAAUGCGUAGAGAUGUGGAGGAACACCGAUGGCGAAGGCAGCCCCCUGGGCCAAUACUGACGCUCAUGCACGAAAGCGUGGGUAGCAAACAGGAUUAGAUACCCUGGUAGUC
rnacentral:rRNA from 1 species